GGAUAUAGUGCAGUGGCAAGCGUAUUCCACCUCCCAGCUGGAAGGUUCUGGGUUCAAUCCCCAGUGUACGCCA